AUUGAACGCUGGCGGAAUGCUUUACACAUGCAAGUCGAACGGCAGCACGGACUUAGGUCUGGUGGCGAGUGGAAAACGGGAGAGAAAUGUAUCGGAACGCUCCAAGCCGGGGGGGAUAACCAAGUGAAAAUUAAGCUAAAACCGCAUACGAUCUAUGGAUGAAAGCGGGGGAUCGAAAGACCCAGCGCGAUUGGUGCGGCCGAUGUCAGUUUAGGUAGUUGGUGGGGUAAAGGCCCACCAAGCCAUCGAUCUGUAGCUGGUCUGAGAGGACGACCAGCCACGCUGGGACUUGGACACGGUCCAGACUCCUACGGGAGGCAGCAGUGGGGAAUUUUGGACAAUGGGCGAAAGCCUGUUCCAGCCAUUCCGCGUGCAGGAUGAAGGCCUUCUGGUUGUAAACUUCUUUUGUACAGAACGUAAAGGUUUCUACUAAUACUAGUAGCUAAUGACGGUACUGUAAGAAUAAGCACCGGCUAACUACGUGCCAGCCGCCGCUGUAA
rnacentral:rRNA from 1 species